GACGAACGCUGGCGGCGCGCUUAACACAUGCAAGUCGAACGGAAAGGCCUGCUUUCCCUUGUGGAUUGCGGGUACUCGAGUGGCGAACGGGUGAGUAACACGUGAGUGAUCUGCCCCCAACUUGGGUAUAAGCCUGGGAAACUGGGUCUAAUUCCCGAUAGGACUGCAGGGUGGUGCCUGUGGUGGAAAACGAUUUUCUAGUGGUUGGGGAUGAGCUCGCGGCCUAUCAGCUUGUUGGUGGGGUAAUGGCCUACCAAGGCGGGGACGGGUAGCCGGCCUGAGAGGGUGGACGGCAAAAUUGGGACUGAGAUACGGCCCAGACUCCUACGGGAGGCAGCAGUGGGGAAUAUUGCACAAUGGGCGGAAGCCUGAUGCAGCGACGCCGCGUGGGGGAUGACGGCCUUCGGGUUGUAAACUCCUUGCGACCGCGAGGAAGCCACCUGGUUGGAAGGGUGGUGACGGUAGUGGUAGAAGAAGCACCGGCUAACUACGUG
rnacentral:rRNA from 1 species